CCUACGGGAGGCAGCAGUGGGGAAUAUUGCACAAUGGGGGAAACCCUGAUGCAGCGACGCCGCGUGAGUGAAGGAGUAUCUCGGUACGUAAAGCUCUAUCAGCAGGGAAGAAAAAAAGUCUUUGGCUUUGGACGGUACCUGACUAAGAAGCCCCGGCUAACUACGUGCCAGCAGCCGCGGUAAUACGUAGGGGGCAAGCGUUAUCCGGAUUUACUGGGUGUAAAGGGAGCGUAGACGGUGAUGCAAGUCAGAAGUGAAAGCCCGCGGCUCAACUGCGGGACUGCUUUUGAAACUGUAUGACUGGA
rnacentral:rRNA from 1 species